GAACCGCAUUGUAAUCAUUUCGUUGCUCUUAAUAAUAUAUAUUAAAUCAAAACAUCAUUACUUGUCCUUUCUCUCUAAGACCCAUUUGGAUACUACAUGCGGAUACCCCGAGUAGAAAUUCACUGCCGGGUGCUGUGUAUGUGGCUGAGUGUGAGGACGGGCUGAUUGCACGGUUGAGAAGCGCACAGAAGAAGGGCAUUGAAGUCCGUAAGAUUUUAGAUGCCGCAACGUGUAGUCAGGCCGAUAGAUAUGUAACCAGAAGAUUAAUCGACGAAGAGUGGGGCGUGAAUUUCGAAAAACAGCGUCGUGAG
rnacentral:misc_RNA from 1 species